rnacentral:rRNA from 1 species
GACGAACGCUGGCGGCGUGCUUAACACAUGCAAGUCGAACGGAAAGGCCCUGCUUUUGUGUGGUGCUCGAGUGGCGAACGGGUGUGUAACACGUGAGUAACCUGCCCUGUACUUGGUGAUAACUUGAGGCAACUGGGGCUAAUACCUGCUAGGAGCGCCUGCUGCAUGGUGGGGGUUGGAAAGUUUAGGCGGUUGUGGAUGGAGUCGCGGCUUAUCAGCUUGUUGGUGGGGUAGUUGCCUACCAAGGGUUUGGAGGGUAGCCGGCCUGAGAGGGUGAACGGCGACAUUGGGACUGAGAGACGGAGCAGACUCCUACGGGAGGCAGCAGUCGGGAAUCUUGCACAAUGGGCGGAAGCCUGAUGCAGCAACGCCGCGUGCGGGAUGACGGCCUUCGGGUUGUAAACCGCUUUCGGCUGUGACGAAGCGUGAGUGACGGUAAUGGGUAAAGAAGCACCGGCUAACUACGUG